rnacentral:rRNA from 1 species
GUCCGAUUUAGCCAUGCUAGUCGCACGAGUUUAGACUCGUGGCAGAUAGCUCAGUAACACGUGGCCAAACUACCCUAUGGAUCCGGCCAACCUCGGGAAACUGAGGCUAAUCCGGAAUACCGCUUUCAGCCUGGAAUGGCGAGAGCGAGAAACGCUCCGGCGCUAUAGGAUGUGGCUGCGGCCGAUUAGGUAGACGGUGGGGUAACGGCCCACCGUGCCAAUAAUCGGUACGGGUUGUGAGAGCAAGAGCCCGGAGACGGUAUCUGAGACAAGAUACCGGGCCCUACGGGGCGCAGCAGGCGCGAAACCUUUACACUGCACGCGAGUGCGAUAAGGGGACUCCAGGUGCGAGGGCAUAUAGUCCUCGCUUUUCUCGACCGUAGGGAGGUUGAGGAACAAGUGCUGGGCAAGACCGGUGCCAGCCGCCGCGGUAAUACCGGCAGCACAAGUGAUGACCGCUGUUAUUGGGCCUAAAGCGUCCGUAGCUGGCCAGACAAGUUCAUCGGGAAAUCUGUGCGCCUAACGCACAGGCGUCCGGUGGAAACUGCCUGGCUUGGGACCGGAAGACCUGAGGGGUACGUCUGGGGUAGGAGUGAAAUCCCGUAAUCCUGGACGGACCACCGGUGGCGAAAGCGCCUCUGGAAGACGGAUCCGACGGUGAGGGACGAAAGCUCGGGUCACGAACCGGAUUAGAUACCCGGGUAGUCCGAGCUGUAAACGAUGUUUGCUAGGUGUGACACAGGCUACGAGCCUGUGUUGUGCCGUAGGGAAGCCGUGAAGCAGACCGCCUGGGAAGUACGUCCGCAAGGAUGAAACUUAAAGGAAUUGGCGGGGGAGCACUACAACCGGAGGAGCCUGCGGUUUAAUUGGACUCAACGCCGGACAUCUCACCAGCAUCGACAGUGUGCAGUGACAGUCAGUGUGAUGAGCUUACUUGAGCCACUGAGAGGAGGUGCAUGGCCGCCGUCAGCUCGUACCGUGAGGCGUCCUGUUAAGUCAGGCAACGAGCGAGACCCGCACCCUUAAUUGCCAGCAACACCCUUGUGGUGGUUGGGUACAUUAAGAGGACUGCCAUUGCCAAACUGGAGGAAGGAACGGGCAACGGUAGGUCAGUAUGCCCCGAAUGUGCGGGGCGACACGCGGGCUACAAUGGUCGAGACAGUGGGAUGCAACGCCGAAAGGCGACGCUAAUCUCCGAAACUCGAUCGUAGUUCGGAUUGAGGGCUGAAACUCGCCCUCAUGAAGCUGGAUUCGGUAGUAAUCGCGCCUCAGAA